AUUGCGGUAUGCACUCUCAGUGUAGAGGCGGUAACAUUUCCCAGGGCCUGUACGCCCAGCACGCCCAGCUCGUUGCUUAGCUGAUGCUUGGGAAAUUGGAGUUAUGACCAGUGAAUCUAGCCCCUGCUUUGGGUUAUAAACAUUUUGCUUUGCAAAACCAGGAUCAAUGACAUAAAAUAUCCCAUCAAUGGUCAGUGAUGCCUCAGCAAUAUUAGUAGCCACAACUACUUUCCUCUUACCUGGUGGGGCAGGAUCAAAUAUCCUUGACUGCAUUUCACUAGGAAGGGCACUAUACACUGGUAGGAUAAUCAACUCAGGGACAUUUUUACCAAGACCUUUCAUCCUCUCAUAAAGAGACUGGCAUGCAAAAUCAAUCUCUUCUUGUCCAGUCAAGAAAAGAAGGAUGUCACCUUCAGGUUCUGUCAAGUGUAUUUGUAGAACAGUUAUUAGAGAUGCAUCAAGGUAGUCGCUUUCCGGCUGUUUAGUGUAGAGUAUCUCUACAGGAAAAGUUCUCCCAGGGAUAGUGAAGAUGUUACAGUUAAAGAAAUAACCGGAAAACUUCUCCGCAUCCAAGGUAGCAGAUGUGACAAUCAAACGAAGGUCUGGUCUCCGCUUCACAAGCUUCUUCAGUAGUCCAAAAAGAACAUCUGUGUGGAUUGUCCUCUCAUGAGCUUCAUCAAGCAUGACCACAGAAUACUGAGAAAGGUUCUCAUCAAUCAAAAUCUCCCUAAGAAGCAUACCAUCAGUCAUGUACUUGAUGACAGUGUCUGGACCAGUGCAAUCCUCAAAACGAAUUGCAUAGCCGACUUCCUCUCCUAAACGACAACCAAACUCUUCAGCAACCCUCUUGGCCACAGACAUAGCAGCCACCCUACGUGGCUGUGUACAACCAAUCUUACCCAUUGUCGUGUAACCCGCUUCUGCAAGAUACUGCGUUACCUGUGUUGUCUUACCCGAACCAGUCUCACCAAUGACGACAAGCACUUGGUUCUCAUGCACCGCUGCAAUCAAUUCUUUCUUCAGCUUGUAGAUAGGCAAGCUCUGCCUCUGUUCCUGGAUUGAGAGUUUUGACCUCUGCCCAAAACUGAUAGUUUUCCCAAAAGCAUCCUUCUUCCACUCAGGCAUAUCAUAUGCUGACAAACCAACACCUCUAAGUUCUUGUGCAAGAUGCCUCUCACCAGUCUCUGGCAUUGGAUCUUCCCAGGGACGAUUGAGAUCCUUUGGGAUAGAAUCCAACAUGGUUCUCUGCUGCUGCUCACGCACUUCUCUACGCUCCUUAAUGAGUGCGGACUGAAGUGCAGCUGCACGACCCAGUGACCCUUCUGGAUUCUUAAAGAUUUUCACAGGUGACAUAUCAACAGAAUACCUGCUCUGUCCAUUUAAAAAGGCUGGCUCGUCCUCAUUGAGCUCAAUCUCAAGCUCUUCCUCAGCUCCCUCUUCUUGAUAAAGCAUCCCAUCGGUUUCCUCAUCAUACAUAGGAUACUCUGUAACACCCAAAACACCUGAGGCAAUCAACUGUUUGGCUUCCCACUUCUCUGGCGAGCUCAUUCUCUUCAAUGGCCGACGUGAUGGGCCAACAUCAUCCUCUUCCACAAUCCUAAUCCCAGAAAGACCAGUCCUAGUCACAGGUCCAUCCUUUGAAAAAGAUGGGUUCGUCCUAAGAGCAUCAUCCUCUGAGCUCUUCUUCAAGGGGAGCAAAUCCUUCCCUGUAUGUUGAUCAACAUCCCUCAUUGAAAGGCUCAACUUCUGACCUGAAAUUGAAAUCACCUUCACAUAAACUUCCUGAUCCCUCUUCACCACAUCCUUAGCAUUGCUAAUUCGCCUAGUUGCCAUCUGUGAAACGUGAACCAGACCCUCCUUCCCUCUUAAAUCAUUCAACUGAACAAAACAACCGGUGUCCAUCACUCUCGAAACCCUGCCCUUAUAAACCUGAUACAAUUCGGGCUCAUCCGAAUGGUUCUGGCCGUUCUGCCGAUCCCUAUUACCUCUCCUAUCAUCACCAUCUUCCUUAACAUCUCCAUCGUCUUCAUACCUAUCUCUCUUAUGCUUAUUGUAUCGAUCUGUAUGCCUUCCCCUGUCAUCAUCAUCAUCAUUAUAAUGUGUAUCUCUGCGCCUCUCAUCUCUAUCAUACCUUUCCCUUCGCCUCUCCCUCCCAUCUCUAUCUCUACCUCCUCUGUGUCUAUCUCGAUCUCUAUCUCUAUCUCCUUCCCUAUAUCUAUCACUACCUCUACGCCUAUCUUCUUCUCGCUCUUCAUCUUGUUCUUCUCUUCUGUUUCGCUUUUCCUUGGUCUCCAUCUCAAUUUCCUUCUCGAUGUCCUUGACUCUAUCUUUAUUAUCAGCGACUGCCAAAGCCUUAAACUUGGUCUUCCUACCAUCAGAAGCGCUCUCUUUCUUCGAGUCCUUCUCAGGCUUUGGCUUUGGUGGAAGAAUAGCGUGAAUGAUAGUGAGGAGUGUACGGACAAAGUAAUCGGGCAUCUCGGCACCGUUUUUCUUUAAUUUGGUGUCAAACUCGUCCACCGUCUCGCACUUUCGUCCCAACUCAGUGAUGAACUCCGCCAGAACUUUGUCCCCAACCCCUAUAUGGGUUUCGAGCUCUGAACAGACCUUGGAAACCAAGGAAAGGUACUCGAGCUUCUUCAAACCAUCGUCAGUGGCAGCCAUUAUGAACUUGCAGAGGUCCUAUUCAUAUUCAAUACAAAAACAAAUCAUAUCAAUAGAAAUUUCAAAAUUUAUGAGAAGAUGCAUAAACCGUAUAAUAUUAACUUGCACAGGCCCUAUUCAUAUUCAAGACAAAAAAUUCAUAUCAACGGAAAUUUCAAAAUUUAUGAGAAGAUCAUUGCUAUAUACUUUUAAUCAGUAGCAUAAAGUUCAAAAUUCAUGAAUGAUAAAUUUAUCACAAAAAAAGAAACAAUUUCUACAACUUCAAACUCACCCAGCAAAAAAUAAAAUUUAAAUCUAAAAUUGCAUACCAGGAGGAUCUGGAGAGUUAAUUCAACUAAUAAUAAAGUAAACUUGGAAUGCCAAAGCAAAUUCAACUAAAACCCUGUAGAACCCAGGAAAUAAGAAACGGAAGAGAAUAAAAAAGAAAUAUGAAACAAAAUCAAGGAAACUGAUCGUUGCUAAAGGGUGGAUCUUAAAUAUGUGAUGGGAUGGGGUCCAAGAUUAGAAUAUAUUGCAGUAAGACAUCAUACUUGGGAUGAGAUGAGAUCAAAGAUGGUUGCGCAUCAACCGUUGUCGCUGUCGAGAGAGAGGAGAGAUGAGCAAUAUGUAUAUGGCGGGAAGACGGCGUCGAAAAAUGGAGGAGUUGACGGUUGAGAUGGGCGGAUUGUUCGUCGCUGACGGCUGGAGCGUUUCUGUUUCAAAAAUAAUCUCAACUGAGAGGGGGGAUUUUAGCGAUUAGGGUUGAGAACUUGAGUUGGAGUGCACCGGCUGUAUCGAUACGCCUAAAUUUGGACCUGUGAAACUAGAGAAAAUAAUAUAAUAAUAAUAUCAUUUAUCUUUCCAAAGGCCAAAAACUUAUAAGUAAAAAUUUAAUAAAUUACAGAGAAACUUUAGUAAAUAGAAGAAUAUUAGGUAUGCAAUAAAAAGAUGAGGAAAAUUUUGGAAAAUAUAGUUAGUGGAGAUUUUUUUUUUUUUUUUAUACAAACAAUAAUCUAGUUUUUUUAUUUUUAUAAUCAUUCUAGGCCUACUUUAAUUUUUAUUUUUUAACAGCUAAUAGGAUAUUGGCACAUGAGUUGAUCUAUAGUAUUUUUUUACUACUUUUUGUUAGGUUAUUUUUAAUUUAAAUAUUCACUAGCCUCUUUUCACGCUCUUCUGCUUCUGUGAGAGGCUUUUUUAAAAAAAAAAUUGAAUUUAUUUUAGAAUUAAAAAAGAUAAUGAGUAGUUGUGUUCUAUAAAAAUAGGAUCCAUUAUCUGAUUUUUCUUUUAAUUUUAAUCUUUUUAAUAUGAAAAAAUGUGAAUUUACCAUAUUAUUCUCAUUUAAUUAAUAAUUUCAAUUCUUAAUGUUUGCAUUAAUCAAUGACAUUUUCUGGUAUUUUAAAUAUUUUAUCAUUCUCUACCUUUUGCUUUGUAUAUAUGGAUAUAGAUAAUAAUAAAAUACUCCCUUUCAUUGAGAUAUUGUUAUGCUUAAAAUCGUAUACACACCACAUUGUAUUGAAAUGUUAUAGUGACUAAACUCUUCAAGUAUCUUGCAAUUAUCAGAUAAGGAGUUAGUAAUCACAUAGGAAAAUAUUCAAUUUAUAUGUUUCUGGUUAUAAUAGUCAUGAUGCAUUUCACACCUUUUGCUGGUCUAGUCAAUACUGUUAUACUUCAGAAUUCCAAUAACGCUACGGGCACCAACUUAUUUACCAACUUUUGGAUACCAACACAUGUGGCACAUGACAUGGCAACCCAUGUCAUCUGCCAUCUCAUCUAUUUUAAUUACAAAAUUAACAAAGUGAGAAUGAACAAAAAAUAAUUUUGGUGGAUUAUUAUCGCGUUUGGAGUGAGUUUGGGUGUUUGAUUUGAUUUUGAUUAUUUAAUAAUACUAUUUUGGCCAUUGGAUUUGAUUUUGAGACAUUGGAAUUUUUUUUUUUUUGGUACAGUUGGAUUUGCUCAAAUUAAAUCUUAGCCAUUAUAUAUAACGAUAGAAAUUAAUUGGAAAAGAAAACGAAACAGUAGUUUGAAGGAAGCCGUUGGAUUCCUACGAUCCUUUCAUCCCAGCUCGUUAUGUGUCCUGACAACACGGGCCCCACGUCUUCUCAUCCAUUAAUCCCAACUCAAUGAACUUCCUUUUCAAACCCAACAAAAAAGAAAAAAAAAAAAAAAAGCGAUCUGAUUUGAAUGCACUUCUUUAUCAUGCAUUUUGUCCAGGAUAGGGGACUGAUUUUCCAGGCCAAGUGCGCAAAACAGUAGAGAUUUUAAAAUCAACUUUCCGAACGUAAAAUUAAAGUGGCUCGUUUAUGAAAAAGUUUCCCUCCCAUCUCCUCCUACUUUUCCCUCCUCACUCCCCUAGAAGAAUACCGGUAUAUAUUUUUCAUUUUCGGAAUUUCCAUUUUGUCUCAACUCAAACGUCAUUUGCUCUUGUCAUCCUCCUCCUUCAAUCCAACCCGCAUCCAUUGUUAGCUCGAAUCUUCUAAAACUACUACUUCGUUGUAAUUGGAUAUUAUUGAUUUGAUGGGUAGAGAGCAAGCUUAUGUUGGUGACGAUAUUGAUGAAAGUAAGUUCAAGACUUCGGAAGCAAUGAACCGCUACAAGAUAAUCUUCAGUGUUCAAGCUGUGACGGUUGAGCGGGAGGUCAAAUUGAGUGACUUCGAGGAUCUUGGGCUUCCUAGAAUCUUCAAAUCAAGAGGUUGGCUUUUGGCAAUGGGUCCUUCAGAGCCUACUAAUAUCCAGAUUGUCCAAGAAUUCUACGCAAACAUUCCUCCUUUCUCCGCCGAGCAGAAAACCUCACCUGGGUUGGGCCCUUUUGGUUCUUGUUUGUGGGAUGAGACUCUGCAUUUCUCUAGCGGUCGAGAAUACCCUGACUCAUUUGAUGUGUAUUUGCGAGGUAAGGUGUUAAAUUUCUCUGUUUCUGGCAUUGCCCAGUUACUUAAACUUACUAGGGCAAACCCAAAUGAAAAAUCACCUGGUUUUCCUGGGCUUGUUGUUGAUAAUCUUGACUUGAAGGUGGUGAAAUCUACUUUGGGUUGGAACAAGAGGGUCAGGGUUUUGCGUGAAAAUCGACUGAGUGAUUUGUACAAAGUGCUUAACAGCAUAGUGAGAUAUAAUAUCGAUCCUCCUUGUCACGUUAUCCCUUCUUUGCUUAGCAUUGAUAGAGCUCGCCUUCUUUAUGCCAUUGGGAACAAUGUACCUACUGAUCUGGCCACCUACAUUUUUCGUGCCAUCUGCCGUGCUGCAUUCCCAACUUCCAUGCCCGACUCCCUGCCUUUUACUUCCUUGAUCACACGCUUCGCCAUGGCUUCUCACGUGCCAGUUGAGCCUACGGAUAAGCUUUAUUCUCCUUGGUCGCCUUUGGACAACGUGGAUAUUUUUGGCUAUAGCUUUACUCCAUCUUCUCCGGCAGUCAAGCAACCUCAAGCCGUGGUGAGCCACACGCCCAGUAUGGCCAUACUUACCAAUGGCGUUGCUGAGCACAGGGGUGAUGUGCACCCCGUUUCCACCCACUCGGUCAUCCCACCUUCUUCGAAACAGCCAUCUGCAGGUCAGUCAAAUGUUAAUAGACAGACAUUAACAACAACAAAUGUAAUUUUCCUUAGAUUACACUUGGACAUUCAGCUUAUUACUGUAAAAUGCAUAGGCCCUUAUUGUUUUUAAGUGCAGGUGGUAAAAAUUUCCGAGGGUUUUCGUUGGUAGCAUCAUAGUUAGUAACAGAGUUGAACUUAUAGUAAGCAAUUAGGCAUCAAACAUGGCACGUUUCUGUGAUUAGUACUUAUGUCCUUCAAUUGUGUAUAUAUUGUUUGCAUGGUAAGUGGAAACCUUUAGAAGAUAAGCUCUCUGUUUGAAAUCACAUCUGUAUUCUUUUAAGGUUUGGUGUGAAGGAUAAACCAUGAAGUAGUCUACUAAUGCGAUAAUGGCUCAUAUUUUCACAUUUUCCUGUCUUCGUUGCCUCUGUUCUUGAAAACGUAUAAAGUGAUGGAGAGGUCUUAUUAUUUUUGGAAAAUAUUACAAUGUUCCCACAUCCCUGUAAUCUGUAUUUGACAGUGUACAUUGAUAAUAAAAUGAACGACUCAGAUACUUCAUGUGACAAUGAGGUAUGAACUUCAUCACAUUUUGUCUCUUUAAGGUUAUAAUAGUCACGAUGCAUUUCACACCUUUGCUGGUUUAGUCAAUGCUGUUAUACUUCAGAAUUCAGAUAGAUUAGAAUCAGAUGAUUGCUUUCUCUCUGCUUGUUACCAAAUACUCUGUCAGUUUAAUAUCUUUGUGUGUAAACAAUAUAAGAAAAACGAAUCUUUUCUCUUGUGCUGUUUUUGCUCUCUUUGAUAUUUACUUUCUCUCUGUGCUUGUGCUGAAGAAAUAAUGGAGGCUGAAGAAGAAAAUAACAGCAAUUUGAUUCCUAACUCACAUGCUUGUAUAAAUCCAUUAACUUCAACUUCUGACUCGCAUCCAAAUAAGAAAGUGAAAAAAGAUCCAUUGGAACAUGCAGCUGGUGAGGUGUCAAAGUUACUGCUGAGUGGUUUCAAAGAUACCUAACGUCAGUAGAUUGCAAGUUUUUAAAGCUGUACGCAUAAUAUUGAAUGGUAACCCAGAAGAAUUCUCUCUACUGAUACUCUUCCUGAUGUUGAGAAGACAAAGUGGAUACUCUUACUAAUUAGUCAAUCUGAAGGUAACUUUCUUGAUAAAAAUUGAGCCAAUAGCUCAGGGGAUAUAAAAUAGGUCUUAGACAUAAAGCCACUUAUCAACAUUUACUUUCUCUCAGGAAAAGAAGAAAGUUUGAGAUACGCUAUCCCUUCUGGCCAUGGUAUGGCUCUCUCUCUCUCUCUCUCUCUCUCUCUGUCUCUCUCUGUGUCUCUCUCUCUCUGUCUCUCUCUCUCCCUCUAACUUAAUUUCUAGUUCUGCAUUUGUUGUUUUAAUUUUAUGCUUUUAACAUGUCAAACCAAUACUUCACUCUGUAAGAUUACUACUUAAUAUCUAGAUAGAAGAGAGAUUUGAACUGAAAUAUCCCAAUUGUAAAUCCUUCUACUCCAAAUUAAAGAGAAAAAGAAAAGUAUGAACCAAUUGGACAGAAUAUACUUGCACAUACUCCCUCCUUGAAUGAGUUUCAGUAAGAAAGCUAGUGUAGCCAAUUGGACAGAAUUUACUUGCACAUACUCCCUCCUUUGAUGUAGUUUCCAAGUGCAUCACCUUAUGAUACCUCUUCAUGUUUUCAAUUAGUAUUGGCUUGUGACAUGCCAAUUUUCUGAGCUUUUAGGGUUCAAUUAUGUAGAUAGAAGAGAGAUUUGAACUGAAAUAUCCCAAUUGUAAAUCCUUCUACUCCAAAUUAAAGAGAAAAAGAAAAGUAUGAACCAAUUGGACAGAAUAUACUUGCACAUACUCCCUCCUUGAAUGAGUUUCAGUAAGAAAGCUAGUGUAGCCAAUUGGACAGAAUUUACUUGCACAUACUCCCUCCUUUGAUGUAGUUUCCAAGUGCAUCACCUUAUGAUACCUCUUCAUGUUUUCAAUUAGUAUUGCCUUGUGACAUGCCAAUUUUCUUCAAUGAUUAUAUACAGGGAGCAGAGUGGCCAAUUCUUUCCUUUCAUAAUUCAACAUCUUGUUCUGGGCACAUGGUAGAAGAUGCCUUCUUGUAAACAGACUUUUUGUAUUUGGUCAGGCUUGCAAUGCUCUAUUUUGUGGAUUUUAAGAUUGUAUUAGGCUUACUUGUGAGCUGCAAAAUGCCUUGUACCAAAGUUUAUGUAUAAAAUGUGUGCUAAAUCUUGUGUGUGGAGUACAAGAUUGAAGGUCUUCCUGGAAAAGCAAUCACAAGCAUUUUCUCUUUUCAAUUUGUAGAAAUGUUCAAGUUCUUGCCCAUCACUUGCAGAUAUAUAGUGUUGUGUACCAUAAAGGCUCCAUCAUAUGCAAUUCCAUCAAGGCUUGCAGGCCAAUCACUGCUUUCUCUUGGAUAUUACAAACAUUUGUAGAGCCAUAAUGAAAACUUGGUAGACAAACCCAAAUACGUGCAUUGACCAUUUGCUUAAACUUGAUAGGCUAGCAAGAGCUUGUAGCUCAAGUGGUUAAGAGUAUCUAUCCUUACACUUGAGGUCCUAGAUGUGAUUCCCUCCUCCCAAUAUCGCUUGUAACCAAAAACAAGCAAAAAAACUUGAUAGGCCAGACCCAGAUGAACCUGGUUUUCAUAAACUUGUUUGUCAGCUUGAUAGUGGCUUAUUAGAGUCCAAAUUGGUUGGGAAAGUAAUGUCCACCAGUUUUAGCAGAUACCCUUUGAGACAAUGUUGAACAGAGCACUUCACUUGAUUGUUAAUGACUAGGGCCCCAAGGGUAUGUUCUUGGUAUGUUACCUUAGGCCUAAGAUACUCUGUCUGUCAGAAGAGAAGAAUGGAGAAGAGGGUGAACAGUGCACGAGAUUGCUGGGUUUUUGCAAGUUAGAGAGAUGAAGAAGGUGGAAAAAUAAGGCACAAAUGGGAAGAUAGCUUGCAUUCUUCUUAUUUUUAACAGACUUUUAUAUAUACCCUACAACGUAAACUAGAAAAUAAUUAUAUAAAAUAAUGAAAUUCCAAAACUCUUUUGGAUCUGAAAGUCUAAAGGUUUUCAUUUCUUCAGUUUUCCUCUCACUCUUUGGUUCUCCAUCAAUUUAUUUUUCAUCAUUCUCUCAUCUCAUCCCUCCUUUACAUGUAUGCAAUCAUUGUAUAUUAAAUGAGGAGAAGUGAGGAGAUGAGUAGAGCUGGGUUCAGGGUUGGUGACAAAGAAAAUGAAAUCAAUCAAUGAUGGAGAUAGAUGUCCAAAGAAAAAUAUUUUGAUGAAGUAGAGAAAUUGUAUUUUUGGGAAGAGUUGAGUGUCUAGAGAAUGGUGAGAAUAAAAAUAGAAACCCAUUGAAACACCGAGUGUAAACAGAAUUCUUGGUAAUAUGAAAUUUCUCUUUCACAUUCAAGGAGUCAAAUCACAUGAAAAGUUUAUGAAGGAACUAUGUUGUAACUACUCUUAACAACUUGAGCUAUACGUGUCAAGUUAGAUCUUCAAUAAUGUAGUAACACACUCUUCAAUAAUGUCUCACAAUGUUAGAUCUUUCAUAGUGAAAAUUAAAUUGAAGAGUGAGAAAGUGAUUUCUAAGAGCAACUCCACCGCUCAAGAUUGAGCUAGGGCAAUCAGUGGGUCCCACCAACCUGGGCAGGCCCAAAGGCAAUUCUUGCAUGGGCUUCAGCCCGAGGGCGGUGACAUCAGCGCACGGUAAUUCAAAUUUUUUUUACCGUUGGUGCGUGAAUUACACGCGCCAACAGUAAAAAAAUUUGACUUCCGCGCGCUAACGUCAGCCCUGAUAGACUCUAAUGGCCAUUUGACACGUAUCGCAACCGGGCUUCUCCGAUGAGUUUUUUUCCAGAAAUCCAACGGUCUUUGUUUUUUUGGCUAAAAAAAUUCCAAAAAAAUUCUGAAAUUUUUUUAAAAAAUACCAAAAAAAUUCUGUAUUUUUUUUUCCUAUAAAUACCUAACUAUUUUAUUUACUUUCCACACUAAAUCUUCAUACAAUUUCUUCUCCAUCCAAUAUUUUUUACUCUCCACUCACAUUAUUCACUUCCCACACCAAUUCUCCAUACAAACUCUUCUCCUUCCAAUAUUUUUUACUCUCCACUCACAUUUUUCACUUCCCACACCAAUUCUCCAUACAAAUUCUUCUCCUUCCAAUAUUUUUUACUCUCCACUCACAUUUUUCUACUACUUUCCAUUUGUAAAAAAAAAAAAAAAAACAAAUGGCAUCUUCUGUCGAAACCGGAGGCUCGUGGUCAACUCAGGAAGAUAUUGCAUUGUGUCAGUAUUAGGUGAACGUUAGUAAUGAUCCUAUCACGGGCAAUGAGAUGAAGUUCCAUCAUAUGUGGAGUAAAAUUCAUGGAGAAUUUUGUCAAAGAUCGGGUCCCAUUCGGACCGAAAUAGCCUUGUCUAGUAGAUGGAAACUUCUGAAUAAAGAGUUAGGGAAAUGGAGAAAUGCCUUGACAAAAACAAGGGAGAACAUUCGAAGCGGUCAAAAUCUAUCCGAUGAGGUAAAAUAUUUAUAAUUGUCAUUUUAAUAAAUUUAAUGUAAUUUUUUUUUAUUGCAUAUUCUAUGUCUUUUUGUUGCAUAAUCUUUUUUUUUUCUUUUUGCAUUUCCAAUUUGUCUAUAUUUUCUUGCAUAAUCAAUUUCAUUCUUGCAUUUCAAAAUAGUUUAUAUUUUCUUGCAUAAUAAUUUUUUUUCUUGCACUUCCAAUCAUUUAUUUUUAAUAGAUCAUACAAGCACAAAUGUGGUUCGGUGCCAUGGGGCAAGGCAAAAAAAGUUUCGUGCAUUUCCAAUGUUGGGAAGUUGUGAAAGAUUGUUCAAGAUUCAAAAUUAUUCCCACCGGUCCAACAGUUUUGUUGAAUGAGACGCCGCUUCACGAUUCACCAUCAACCGAUUCGCCAUUGGACUUCCCAAUGGAAACGGAGUCACCACUCCCACGUCCGCCAAGACCUAUUGGGAGAAAGGCGGCAAAGGCCAAGAGAGGGGGCACUUCAAACAAUGAAUGUAUACAAUUAUUGGAGCAAAUAGCUAAGAACACCUCACUAAGAAUUGAGAGAGACUUGAAAAGAGAUGAAGUGGACAAGGCACGAGAGGAAGCAUUUGUAAUUCAACAGCAGCAGGCACAAGACAAAGACAUGGAUGAUAGAGAGAUGAAAAUCAUGGCCAUGGAUACGAGCCAUAUGUCUCCUGAAACCAAGGCCUAUUGAAAGCAUAGACGAAGAGAUGUGAUGAGAAGAAAACUUUUCCAUGACGAUGAACCUAGCAAUACGGAUUGGUUAAAUGAUGAAAACCAUUAAGUUUUAUUGAAACACCUUUGCCAUAUGUUGUAUUGUUGUAUUGUUGUAUUAUCCUUUAAUUUAUUGUAUUGUUUCCUUUUCAUUAAAUAAAAAAAGUAUUAAAUAAUAUGACUAUUUAUUAAAAACAUUUGAGCAUCAAAAUAAAGAUUAAUUAAAAACAAACCUUAAUUUAUUGCAAACAACACACAAAAUAAAUCAUACAUAAAAGCAUAAUAAUAAUAAAAAAGAUAGAGAUGGUGUAGUUUUAUAGAGGGAUUCAGAAGAUAGAAAUGACACGUGGCACAAUUUUAGAGGAUGAAAAUCUUAUCUGAAAUAUGAGAUUAUAAUUUUUAAAAAAUAUCUGAAAAUCUUAUCUAACAGAGAUAACACUUGGCACAAUUUUAGAGGGUGAAAAUCUUAUCUGAAAUAUGAGAUUAUAUUUUUUUUUUAAAUAUCUGAAAAUCUUAUCUGACAUGGGACACGUGACACAAUUUUAGAGGUGAAAAUGUUAUCUGAAAUAUGAGAUUAUAAUUUUUUUUAAUGAAUAUCCGAAAAUUUUAUCUGGAAUAAGACAUGUGGCAACUAAGAUUCUCAUUCGAAAAUCUUUUCUGAAAAAUAAUGGACAUGUGACAGUAAAAAGUAUUAUCCGAAAAUUUAAUUACAAAAGAUUAUCAAAAUUAAUAGUUUAAAGUAUAAAAAAAUAGGAAAUAAAGUACAAUGAAUAGUAUUUACCUUAGACUUGCCCUAGACUUAACCCUCAUGGGUGGAACCACAAAUGGCAAGGCUGCCACUAUUCAUGUGACUAUUCAUGUGAAUAGUCACAGCCCUUGCUUACCCUUGCCCUAGACUUAGCCCUUAUGGGUGGAAUUGCUGUAAAAAGUUAACAUCAAAAGACCCUUAAAAAGUAUGUGAUCAUUCUCAAUAUGGACCCCCAUAUUUCAAUUUCAUUAUUUUACUCCCACGGUUUUCAAAUUUGCUCAAUUUACUUUCCGUCACAUUAACUGCUAACGUGUCUACUGUGAGACACAGCCACUUAUCAAUCCCCAUCCCAUCUAACAUGUAAUAAAACAAAAACUAAAUAUAUGAUAUUAAAAAAAAAGAAAAAAAAAAGAAGAGGCAUAUAGCCUUCCCCAUCACUCUCACCGACGCACAGUCGCACCACCCGAUCCCCCUCCCUUUCUUCGUCCUCUCUCUCUCUCUCUCUCCCUCUCUCCCUCUCUCCGUCCCUUUCUCCCCCAUCCCAUCUUCUCGAGUUCUCUGAUUCCCCCCCCCCUCUUCGCGAUCUACCUCUCCUUCGAGAGGCUUCUCGAGUCCAGGCCCUGCGAUGCCGAUCAGACCUAGCUCAUCGAUCGCUCUCUCCAAUUGGGCUCUGUGCUCCUCGAGGCUGCUAAUCGUUCUGCGAGAAAACCAGCCUCCAAGCACAACUCUCUCACCUGUACUCUCCCCUCAAACCUCCCUCCAAGCACAAUUUGUAUAUAUUGAUAGGGAUGGGGAGCUGGGAGGAUAGUGGGACGGAGAGAGAGAGGGGGGGACGAAGAGAGGGAGAGUGCUCUGGUGGGGAAGAGCCAGGUGCGCCGCUAUCACGAACACAUUCAGACCACGAGCUGACGCAAGUGGAAAUCAUGCUUCUCUGUUUUUCUAGUUCUGUAGUCGCCGCUAAUCAUGCUGCUUUGAUUUUCCAUUGAUGUUUGCUUUGUUACUCUCAAAAAGUUUCCUUCCUUUAUUUUUUAUUUAUUUCGAUAAUGAAAUUUGAAAUUUGAAUUGUGUGUUGCUUUGUUACUCUCAAUAAAUCUUCCUUCUUUUUCUUUUUUCUUACAGGAAUUGGGUUUUGGUGUUUCACCAACGAGCUGACGCCAGAGAGAGAGGGAUGGGGUUGGUGUGGGUGCGAUUGAGGGGUGAACAAGGGGUGCUGGGUUUGUUGGGCUGAGGAAGGGCUGGGAUUUUUUAAGGUAUUUUUAUUUUAUUUUAUUUUAUCACUUUAUAUAAAUUUUUUUAGGAACUGAUUAGUUAGUGGGCGGAUCCCGAUUGCCCAUAUUGAGAAUAACCCCAAAUGUCUUUUGAUGUUAGCUCAUUUCUAAAUUUGUAGAGUGAGGGAGUGACCACAGUUUUGAUAUAUUGGUGUCUAUUUUUAUUGGAGCUGAUUUUGUUUGCCUCACCUUACCAGUGGGUAUAUUCCUGGUAAAUAAUAUUGCAACUCUUGCGCUUUUAGAAAUUGUGUGUAUAGUUUUAGAAAAUGGGUCAUGUAAUUUUAAUAUAAAAUUGCUACAAACUCUUGUCAACCCUGGAAAGUUCAGUCCAAGUGGACGAGACAUGCUCUCUCUUAUUAAAAAUGCUAUACAUGUACACCAUGCUUUUGUCCUCAAAUUUGGACUCGUUAUACAGUAUAGACUACUUUAUUUAUGUACUUGGCUAAGAGUUCGAUUAUUUUCCUCCCCUUUUCUUAAAUGGAAAUCAUCUCUAGUUCUUUUCACCCCUAACAACAUAUGGAACUGCUGAGUUCAUAACUUUUCUAUUGUUUAUCUUUUAUGCAUAAAAUUAUAUCUUGUUUUUUUACUGGGUAAUUCAAAACUUGGAAACUCCUUCGACGACUUUACUAAAAAGGAUUUAGGUUUUUUUUACUAAAAAGUCAGUAUAGUAUGAAUACCUAUUUGAUACGAUGUAGGUUUUUUUUUUUAAUUUAAAAAUUUAUUGAAAGGAUUUUUAAUUAUUUGUAUUGGCACUAUUAAUUUUGCCACAGAAUUCUCAGAGGUUUAGUAAUUUGCUUUUACAAAUACCAUGAUCGUUUUGGGAAAUCUCUCUUUCUGGAGGCAGAUUCCAGAGCCGUUUAAGGGAAAUUCGUAGUCGAGCUACCGAUGUUCAUGAUAAGGAAAAGGGAAUCAAGAUUACUGAGAAGGAUUGGGAAAAGUUGAAUGUACAAUUGCUUCAUACAACAAUUUUCCUACUGCUGCUGGAUUGGCUUCCUCAGCAGCUGGUUUUGCUUGUCUUGGUAACCGAUAAUACCCUAUUUUGGAUCAUAUUAUUGUUAAUUUGUUAUAUGAUUAGUGCCUUAACUUUGAGAACUCAUGACUGUUAAUAAUGUUACUUGGGUACCGGAUUAAUCAUUCUUUGCCAAUAGAUAGUAGUUAAGCAACGAGCAUAUCAUAGCUAAGCCUCUGUUUCUACUUGCAGUUUUUGCCCUCGCAAAGUUAAUGAAUGCGAAUGAAGAUCACAGCCAGCUUUCUGCUACUGGAAUCAAUCUGAGAUUUUAAUAAGCCAUCGCAAUCUGACUAAGUUUUACAGAAUACUUAACACAAUAGUAAGUGCUGAUAUCGACCCUGAAGAACGUCUCCUUGACAGUAGCUUAAUUGAUUUUGACAGAGCAAGCCUCCUUUAUGCCAUUGGGAAUAAUAAUGCGUCCAUUGAUCAGCCCGCCCACAUUUUCCGAGCCAUUUGCCUGGCUGCAACCCCAGACGACUACUACGAAACUCAUUCCCUGCCUUUUGGGUCGUUGAUCACUAGGUUUGCCAUGGCGUCUAAAGUGCGAAUUGAUCCUACGGAUCAGCUUAAACAACUUAUGCCACCUAUCAACUAGAUGAUGUUUCAUAAUGAUCAGACAGAUGAAACAAGUGAAGAAUCUGUUGUUGGAUUUACUCCUCCUCCUGCACCUGCUUCGGAGCCAAGUCCUCCACAGCUUAAUCAGCCUCCUCUGUCCCAGACAAAAAGCUUUGAGAAGUUUUCUAUAAAGCUGAGAAAGCGCAUGGCCCGACUUGCCAAUGAGGUCGUUAAGCUCACCGGUUGCGUACAUUGGGGCAUCCCAUUGAAAGAGCCAUUUACAGGUCAUUCUAAUGUUGAGCUUGCUUUAGUUUAUAUGUGUUUUUGUCCUUUUCAGCUUUGUUAAACCCUGUCUUCAACUUUCAUUUCUAAUCCAUUGAUUAUCUAUGAGUUGUUAGGCUUUUGUUUCCAUUUGUUUAUUCAGUUGUUCUUCUUUUAUACCCUCUCAUUUGUUUCUGCUCCUCUGUCUUAUGAUUUUCCACUUCCACUUAUCACUCCCUUGUCAUACACACUUGCAGUACAAGAUAAAUAGAAUCUGAAGUUUGCCUUGUUCUGGAUGAUAAAUAGAAUUCUAUUUAGUUAUAUAUUUUCAAAGAUACAAGUUAAAUAAAGACGAUGUAGCGAGCACCAUAAGCUUCAAAAGAAUUUUCCUAGUUCUAGGCUUAAGUAUAUUUUUUAUCUAAAGGACCUCUGAGUUGACUGCAGGAACUGAUUCAGCCUAAUACUGUAAAAGAAUUGUCCCUUGAAUAUCUUUUUAUGUACAGCUGGUAAGAAAAUUUUCGGGUUUUUACUGGUGGAAGGAAAGUAAUAAACUUGAAGUUAGCAACUAGCACUGAAUGCUUCUGUGGUUAGUGAUUUAGUAUUAAAGAGAAGCUCUGUUUCUGAUCAUAUAUGUAAGAUUGAUUUUGAUUGCAUUAAUUAGUAAAAAAGAUAAGCUCUGUUUCAGAUCAUAUAUGUAUUCUUUUAGUCAACUAAUGAGAUGGGGUGGUUAACAUUUAUUUAAGUGUGACUGGAACAGUUUUGAGUGAUGAAUUUUCCUAUUUUCACUAGGGAGCUGCCUUUGAAUUUGAUAUUUUCGGGAGUGAUUCGAUGCUUUUCUCUCGUUUGAAAACUUAACAAAAUUAAAUAUUCACAAUAUUCCCCAUCGUCUGUAUAAUAAAAAUGAAACUGCUUCUACAUGUGAUUAUGAACUCCAACACAUCUUGUGUCCUUGUGGUUGUAAUAGUCAGCAGUUAAUGCACUUCUUUGCUGCUUUAGUGGAUGUUUUUUAUGCUUUACUUUCUCUCUGUUAUUGUGCUGAAGAAAAUAUGGAGGUUAAACAAGAAAAUGAUGAGAAUUUUAUUCCCAACUCACAUACUUCGACACAUCUAUCAACUUCAAUUUCUGGCUUGCAUCCAAAUAAGAAAGCGAAAAAACAUCCAUUGGCACAAGCAAUUGGUGAGGCGGCAGACUCACAAAAGGAGUUUUCGGCAAGUCAAAUGAACCGCAACUCAGAGGAGAGGAUGUACUUGCAGUGGUCUCAAAGAUACCGAACUUCAGUAGAUUGCAAGUUUUGAAGGCCGUACACAUGUUAUUGAAUACUGCUUAUUAGUAAAUCCUGGGUCUAACUUUCUUGAUAAAUGAUGCUGAGUGAGCCAAUUAUUUCUCAGGGGUUUAAACUUUUGCAUAGAGAGACACUUAUCAGCAUUUACUCUCUCUCUCUCUCUCUCUCUCUCAUUAAUCCAGUAUUAGGAGUGAUCUUGCUUUUUAUUCUUUUCAUAUACAAUAUUAUUGAUAUCCUUUUAUGUCCUUUUACACACACUGAGCUUCUUGACAUGUUCUGGGCUUUUAAUCAUGCUUCAAAGACAUACUUUAAAUCCAUUUAUAUAUCUUCUUUAUCUAUUUAUUUCUCUUGUUUGAGAGGAGGUAUUAUUUCUCUUGUUCAUUAUACUAAUGUAAUUUACACGGAAAGGGGUUUGAACUUCGGUGUAAGGGGUAAGCUCACCAUCUUAUCCAAUUAGCCUAACCGCAUUUGCAGAUGUAUACAAAUACAAUGAUAUAGUCCAAACUACUCUAAAUCUAAACUACUAGGGCAUGUUUGGUAGGGUUCACUAGAUAGGACUAUGCUAAAUUGAACCUGAAACCCAUGUUUGGAUAGAAAGGGGACUAAUUUAAAUGGGAUUGUAGAGCCCAACAGUAACAAAAACCCCUCACUCGUUCUCCUUAUACAGAGAAGCUGAAAAUGGGUUCACAAAAUAAGCGCUUCGUUAUAUUGAACACGCGACAACGCCUCUCUCUCUAGUUCUUGACUUCGCCCUCUAUCUAGUUCGCGACUCGACCUCUUCUUUGUUCAACAUCGACUCCUCUUCUUCGAAUCUUGACCCAGGCAAGUUUUUCUGGUCUUUCCCUUUGGAUACCUCUCUUUUCCUUCUUCCACCUCUUUGAUUUUUGCAAUUGUCCUCAACAAUUUUGACUCUGUGCUCUGAAUCUCUCCUUCCUUUUCUCUGUUUUUUGUUAUUCUUUUCUCUAAUUUUCGUAGAAUCCAUAUCUACUGUAGCGACAUAUAUAUAUUUGAUGUUAAUUGACAAUUAAUUUGCAAUGGGUAUUUAAGAAAGCCUAGAAAUUCAGAAUCUUGAGUUUAGAGUAGACUUUUGGCAUGAAUCUUGAGUUUAUUGAACUUACUGGUUCAUGUGGGAUGAUGCAUCUUUGUGGUUUCAGUUUUUAAAUAAGAUGCUCUCCUUUCAUCUUAUUUAAUCUGAAUAAAAAUAAGAUGUUUCUUUUCUGAUGUACGCAAUUCAUACCAGUCUCAUGUGUGACUAUAUUCAAUAGGAUUUGAGACAUGAUGACUAAACCUUCUGAAUAUCUUUCUAUGGCACUUGGUGGCUGGACUGAGGAUUUCUUGUAUUUUCAUGAGUUGUAUUCAUUGGAGACUUUUAAUAGGUACCUUAACAUGUAAAAUGGCUGCAUCUUGCCUACCAUCAUCUACUUUCAGACACCACAUAUAUAAUCUCACAGUUGAGGUGUAAGUUUUGAAGUGGAGCCUCAACUUAGGCUCUCUGUUAGAACGUCUCCUUUAAGUUCUCAUUUUGGGUAAAUGAGAUUCUGUAUUCACUCUAACUGUAUUCAAUUAGAUUAACUAACAUAAGAAUGUCUCUACCCUUUUUUUCUUUCUUUUUUAUAUUUUCCCUAUUUCCCCAUGGUCAUAAUUUACAGGCCUUUGUCUUAACUCUGGCACUACCUAGGUCUGCCAAUUUUCUUUUUUCUUGGUUGGUGAUUUAGUGCUAAAAGAUUACACAGAGGAAGAUUAGUAUUUGUUUUAUGCUUGCUGUUGAGUUUCUUUUGUAGCUAUGAGGUUGCCAUUUCUUAUAAAAUUUUUGCCAAAAAGUCAUACUAGGUUACCAUUUGGAUAGAAGGUACAUCAAAUCUUGAUUUGGGCCUUUUUGUUUGCUCAUGUCAUUGUGGUAAUGUUAUAGGUAGCUGGUGUGAAAUUAAAAAGAAAAAAACAGAGUUUGCAUUGCUAUUUUAUUAUUCAGCAUUCCAUCAGUUGUUUUAUGCUUGCUGUGGAGUUUCUUUUGUAGCUAUGGGGUUGCCAUUUCUUAUAAAAAUUUUGCCAAAGGUUACCAUUUGGAUAGAAGGUACAGCAAAUCUUGAUUUGGGCCUUUUUGUUUGCUCAUGUCAUUGUGGUAAUAUUAUAGGUAGAUAGAAUCUAACAAUUCUUUACAGUUGACUCUGGUGUGAAAUUAAAAAGAAAAAAAACACAGUUUGCAUUGCUAUUUUAUUGUUCAGCAUUCCAUCAGUGAUGGGCAGCUUGCAACUUUCUUUUAGUGAUUGGCAUGGGCAAAGUCCUUCUAAUGUCCUCUCACCACAUGUGGACAUUAUACCAGUAGAGCAAUUUCUCCUUUAUAUGAGAUAGAGAGACCAAUUACUCAAAAAUGAAUAAAAUACCAACAACAAAUUAAAGAAAACAGAGCAUCUGACACUGUUGGCCAUGUCAAAGCAAAGUCAUGCUAUGUUUUUUCUUUUUGUUUGGAGAAAGAUAUGUAGUUUUGGAGUUUGCAAUUGUGACAAAUCCCCUGUGAUUGAUUGUAUCUGUCAUUUGACAGAGCAAUUUGCGUCCUACAUGAGUAUCAAUUGAUUUUGGUCUCUCAAAUAAGAAAAUGCAAUAAAUAACAUGGUGUUCAUUAGCAGCAGCAGCAUCUUUUGGCCAAAAGUGAAAUAAUUCUGCGAUUUUUUUCUUCAUAUUUGUUGUGGUAUUAGGCACACGUUGGUUGAUAAUUUGGUCCAUUUGGGGCAAAUUUUCCAUACUUUGCAAUGGUAUUAAUUAUGGCUUUGUAGUAAUUGUUCUGUUUCAUAGAAACAUAUGAAACUGUUCGUUUUCAAUUUUUGGGGUUAUUUCACUUUCAAUAGAAUUGGUUAAGUGCAAUAAUUCUUUUCUUUUUUGAUUAAUAGAUAUGGAUCAUGCUUAGAAACAAAGUUACGCUUUUUUGGCAGAUUCCAAUUAUUGAUUAUGGUAUUAUUUUAUUUGUGCUGAUUAUUCUUAGGAAAGGAAAAUAAAGGUAACAGUCAAAACUUCGAACAAGGAAGAAAGGGACUAGGCGGUCAUGGUCCACAAAAUACAUCUAUAUUCAUGUCUUUGGAUGAUGAUAUCAAGAAAGUGUUUGUUGAGCAGUUGCUUAGUGACAAUGCUUGAGGACAUGGCCUAGCUAAAUUUAAUGCAUCUAUCUUUUUGGAAACACCAAAAAUGAUGCAUUGAUAAGAUUGGCUUCAUUUUGGAAACACCACAAAUUGUAUAACAUAUUGCUAGCAUUAAAGCCAAAUGGUUCAUGGUUGUGAGGUUUAUUAGUUCAUUUUGAAAUUGUGGAUGUUUAUUUGUAUGUAUUAAUGGUAGAAUUGUGUGUAGUGAACUGGACUUCUAAUUUCUGAGUAAUGUAGAUGACUUUGGCAUAUAUGAAGAAUUUCUAACUUUUGCAUAUAUGAAAUGUAUAUGUCAAUUUGGUUUGGAGAAAAAGAAAUGUAUAUGACAAUUUGGUAAUUCUAAUAACAAAAAAAACUUACAUUUAAUUAUUUAAAAAUAUUAUUUUUAAAUAUAAAAUAAUUAUUUUUUAGUCCUACAUAGCACCAAACAUAGGUCUUCGCUAUUUUUACAAUCCAGCUUUUUAGUCCGACACAGCACCAAACGUAUGUCAGUACUUAAUCCAGCUUAGUCCAAUCUGAGCUAAUCCAAGAUAAUCCUAGGAUUUAGUCCAGUCCAUGACAGUCCGCCGUACCAAACGACCCCCUAUAUUACUUUCCUUCUAUAGUCAAUAUAUAUGACUUUUGCCCUUCAAACUAAUUAUGUCUUACCUACAAUCCAUUAUUUUAUCUACUAUAUUACUUUCCUUCUAUAGUCAAUAUAUAUGACUUUUGCCCUUCAAACUAAUUAUGUCUUACCUACAAUCCAUUAUUUUAUUUUAUUUAUAAAUAAAACCCAAUGAUUGGAUCCGACUCAUCAAUUUACCUAAUUAAAUUUAAAAUUUUGAUUUAUUGUACUUUUUUUAGAUUAAAAAUAAUAAUUAUGGAUAAUUAAUCUACCUAUGCAAUCUCGGCAAAUUCUUAUACCUACAAAAUAUAGGUAAAUUGGUACCCUUUUUUAAUUUUAUAAAUAACGUGCCUAUUUUUUCAUAACUAAUGUACCUAUUUAUUUUAUAGAACUAAUUCAAUAGCAACGUUUUUUUAAAAUAUAGAAAUAAUGUACCUAUUUUCUUAUAAUUAAUGUACCUUUUUUUCUUUAAAAAUAUUUACGUAUUCAGAAUCUCGCCCCUAUUCUGACUGAGAAUUGCUCCUCAAUCAAUCAAUAUGCAUCUCACCACCCAAGCUCUCUUUCUUCACUGGGACCGUGUUUUGUUCUUUAUUUAUUUUUAUUUUUUUUUCAUUUUAGUUGUUGUUUAAUUUUUAAACUUGUGUUUUUUAAUAACCAUUAUAUUAUCAUUUAUAUCCAAGGGCGAAUGACCACAAAUUCCUUGGACCACAGGAGUUCAGAAGAACGGGACCGAGUAAUUCAUAUACUAAUCAUUUAUCGAGCAACAAAACAAAUCAAAUCAAAGAAUCAGAAUGCAAAAUGAAGGAAGCUGCUCCGAAACUCUAUGAUCAGAUAUCCAACACUAAAUCUACUUAAGUGUUUCGUGAUCAUCACUAUAAUAAGAGAAACUUUCGUGUGUAAUUGUAAGACCCCAUGUUUAACCUAAAUUAUAGGGGCAUUUCAAAAUAGACUUGGUCAAUAACCAAACUCUCAUAUUAUAGUUGUUGAAUAAAAACCCAUUAUUCAUUUAUUAGUAUCAAUAAAUAUAUAGGCAUUAUAUUAAUAUUAGGUUGAGUAGAGAUAUUUCCACAUGUUUCACUUAAGUCAAGUUCACAUUUGCAAAAAGAUAUUUGUAACUUGUGCCCAGGGGAUGGGAUGCAAAGCCAUUGAUUGAGUGGACACGGGAAGGCACCUUACCAAGUCAAGUCAAGUCAAUACCUGCAAGUCAGUUGGAGCACGCGUUGAAGGGCACCAUAUCAAGUCACAAGUCUUCAUUUAUCUUUUUCCACAUAGUGACAUGAAUUAAAGUGGUGAGUCUCUCUUCCUUUUGUUCACCCGUGUCCUUCAUAUUCACUUUUCAGUCUUUCAUUUGAAAACACUACAAUAGCACACUUUCCAAAGAGAUUCCCAAGCAGCUUAUUGGCCUUUCGAGUUCGGGGAAAUUAGCAAGUGGAAAAAUAAUUUUCCGGAGCUUUGUCUCUACGACAAGUUGGCUUUCCAAAAAAUCGAAAAGACUUUACAGUCUUUUUGUGUGAGUCAGUCAUCAUGAGUUUGCAUACGAAGACUUCAAAGUCUCCUUGAUGAUAGUCGUCCACAGCAAGCUCCCAACGUUAUAAAUUACUAAGAUGGACAAAUGCUCAAUAAAAUUUAAUUAGGAUAAUUAGUUGAUUUAAGGAAUAUCUCUUUUUCUGGUGUCAUUUUUUAUUGACCGGAGAAAUAUGUGUAUCCGCAUAUCCUACAUUGAUUGUCUUAGUAAUUUCCUUUGCAUCUAAAAAAAAUUUAUUUAACCCUAAAAAAAAAAUAUUACUCCAUCUUGAAAUGUUUCCCCUUAACCUUUGCCACACUAAUCACAAAGUAUACUAGUAAAUGUUUCAAACCACGUAGGAUAAUUUUUUGGGAGAUUCACUAUUAUACCCAAUAUAAGAGUUCAAAUUUUUUUUUUAAAAAAAACCUAUAUGAAAUGGGCUUUAGAACACACCCAAAACCCAUUUACAACAUAACAAAAAAGCUUUUAACUUCUUUUAAAGUACAAAACUGUCAUUGAUUUCUUAAAACAAACUCAACCCAAAAACCUCAUAAAAAAGCUUAAAACACUCAAUAGGGUAUCAAAGUAAUUUAAUAAUCAAAAUUAAAUUAAAUAGAUCCGGCUGUCAUUUUUUGAGUUUAUUUACAAAAAUUAAAUGGUGUGGGGUUAAUUUAUAAUUUUAGUGCUAAGAAUGGGUAAAUAUUUAUAAUUUUUUCAAGCAUUAUUGUAGAGAUAGCAAUAUAGUGCUAUUCCCGUUACAAAAAAAUAUUUUUCCUUUUGAAUGAUACAUUCAUAUGUAUUUGAAAUUGAACCUACAUACACAGGGUGGUUGUCCACAUGGCAUGGUAUGAGAGCAUCAUUGAGCUAUGUCACUAUUCAGCAAAACAGUAUGUUGUGUCACCGAGCGUACACAAUUCUUUUUAUAUUAAAAAAUUAACCAAAAUUUUAAAAAUAGUAUUUUUAUUUUAUUGAAAUUAAAAAAUAGUAGUAUGAACACUACAUCUAUCAUCCUCCUUUUUCCAACAAAAGAAAUCUUAGUAGAUCUUUCUCUGCAAACUCUUCAUCAUUUCUAACUAGUCUAAUCGAACAGUCAACACCUACUUGACGUGUGGUUGUGGAGACUUAAAAGCCUUUGAAAAUUUUACUCCUUUAUAUGGUUUUGUCUUAUAUGAAUGUGUGGCACUGUUUUAGCUAAACCAUGUUUUUCUUUGUAAAAGUUUUCUUCCUUUUUUCCUAUAUAUAUAGUUAGUGUGUAAUUAUAAGACCCUAUAUAAUAUUAACCUAAAUUAUGGGGGCAUUUCAAAAUUGACUUGGUCAAUAACCAAAGUGUUUUGAAAAGCUCUCGUAUUAUAGUUGUUGAAUUAAAACCCAAUUUUCAUUUAUUAGUAUCAAUAAAUAUAUAGGUAUUAUAUUAAUAUUGGGUUGGCAAGAGAUAUUUCCAUAUGUUUCACUUAAGUCAACCUCACAUUUGCAAGAAGAUAUUUAUAACUUGUGCCCGGGGGAGGGAUGCAAAACCAAUGGUUGAGUGGACACUGGAAGGCACCUUACCAAGUCAAGUCAAGUCAAUAUCUGCAAGUCAGUUGGAGUACGCGUUGGACGGCAAAUCACCAUAUGCAGUUUAUGUCACAAGUCUUCAAUCUCAUAUAUUAAUUUCUCCAAUGUUCAUUAAUUUACUACUUGUUUACUUGGACUACUGACAAAUUUUUCUUCAAAUAUCUUUUUCCACAUAUCGACUUGAAUUAAAGUGAUGAGUCUCUCUUCCUUUUGUUCACCCGUGUCCAUAUUCACUUUUCAAUCUUUCAUUUGAAAACACUACAAUGGCACACUUUCCAAAGAGAUUCCCAAGCAGCUUAUUGGCCUUCCAAGUUUGGGGAAAUUAGCGAGUGGAAAAAAAAUUUCCGAAGCUUUGUUUCUUCGACCAGUUGGCUUUUCAAAGAAAGAAAAAACAUAAAAAUGGUAAAAUAAAGUAAUUGAGCAAUUAAAAAAGCAAAAAGAAAAAAAAAAGGAAUUACCGUUUGUUGACGUUUGAGUUAAAUGUGUAUGUGCAACGACUUAAAACUCUAGUUUACACUCUUUGUGGAACCAAAAAAUUGAAAAGGCUUACCAGUCUUUGUGUGUGUCAGUCAUCAUGAGUUUGCAUACGAAGACUUCAAUGUCUACUUGAAGAUAGCUGUCCACAGCAAGCUCCCUACCCAAAGUUACAAAUUACUAAGACGGACCAAUGCUCAAUAUGACAGGACCCACCCUGAAUUUCUCGGAACUUGAGACGAAUCCUGUGAAAAACUAGUACAUCCCUCCAAUGUCAUGCCCACUUACCAAAACUAUAGCCUCUUUUCCAAAUUAAGGAAAAAAGGUACGAGACUUUUUGCCAAAAUUUCGGCAGAGUCUCCCCUGUAAAUUGGACUUUCUCCAAAUUUUUUUAACCUAUUAAAAAUACAAUUAACAUCCACAACUAGUAGCAUGCACAACUAGUAGCAUGCACAAUUUAACCUUUAAGCAGUUUACGAACUAGGCCUCUGGCCUUUAACAAUUCAGUCAGUUGGGGCACGCGUUGGAAGACAAAUCACCACAUUAAGUCUAAGUCAAUAGUUGCGUUGAAAGGCAAAUCACCAUAUCAAGUCGAAGUCACAAGUCUUCGCGAUCUCAUCCAUUAAUUUCCCCAAUAUUCAUUGAUUUAUUACAUGUUUACUUGGACCACUGACAAUUUUUUCUUCCAUUAUCUUUUUCCACAUAGUAACAUGAAUAAGAGUUGGUUGUACCUUGUACAUUUUUUUUCUCCUUCUUUUUUGAAAUUUGGUAUAGUCCAGUUCUGAUGACAUAAGUGAAAUUGAACCUAUAUCUAAGAGCUCCUUUCAAAGAAAAAACAUAAAAAUGGUAAAAUAAUGUAAUUGAGCAAUUAAAAAAGCAAAAGGGAAAAAAAAGGAAUUACCAUUUGUUGACGUUUGAGUUAAAUGCGAAUGUGCGAAGACUUAAAAGUCUAGUUUCCACUCAAGUAUGUGGACUUAAUAGUCUUUUUGUGGAACCAGAAAAUUGAAAAGACUUUACAAUCUUUUUGUGUGAGUCAAUCAUCAUGAGUUUGCAUACGAAGACUUCAAAGUCUACUUGAAGAUAGGUCCACAGCAAGCUCCUUGCCCAACGUUACAAAUUACUAAGAUGGACCAAUGCUAAAUAGGAUUUAAUUACGAUAAUUAGUUUAUUUAAGGAAUACCUCUUUUUCACGUGUUAUUUUUUUAUUGACCGGUGAAAUAUGUGUUUCCAUAGAUCCCGCAUUGAUUGUCCUAGUAAUUUCCUUUGCAUCUAAAGAAAAUGUAUUUAACCCUAAAAAAAAUGUUACUCCAUCUUGAGACGUUUCCCCUUAAACUUGUUUGCCACACUAAUCACAAGGUAUACUAGUAAAUGUUUCAAACCACCUAGGAUAAUGUUUUCAAGCAUUAGGAGAUAGCAAAAUAAUGUUAUUCAUGUUAUAAGAAAUAUUUUUCCUUUUUGAAUGAUACAUUCAAAUGUAUUUGAAAUGGAAUCUACAUAUACGGGGUGGUUGUUCACAUGGCAUGGUAUGAGAGCAUCAUUGAGCUAUGUCACUAUACAACAAAACAGUAUGCUAUGUCACCCAAUGUACUCAAUUCUUUUUAUAUUAAAAAAUUAACCAAAAUUUUAAAAAUAGUACUUUUAUUUUAUCGAAAUUAAAAAAUAGUACUUGUAUUCCUGCAUCUUACUUUUUAACUCAUGCAUCAUAAUUAAUUUGGAAUCUAAAGUACUUAAUUUAAUUACCUCCAUAAUAAAGAGAUUCGAAUCUAAAGUGUUGAUGCUCAAAAUGGCCCGGCCAAUAUUGAGUCCAACUUAGUGAUUAGAUGUGCUGAGUCUUCAGCAGAGAAGAGGGCUGAGGCCCUUGGUGAAAUGGGUUGGUGAGAGACCUGUAGAAGGUAAAAAGAGGAGAAGCAAUCGUCAAGCUUCGGACACCGGUGUGGUGCCGGCCGAAGGCUCUCCGAUGCCUAAGUCAAUUACAAGUAGUAAUUCUGGCAGAGUAACAGUAAAAGUGGGAGAGUAGUUCUCUGUUUUACUUGGGUACUGUUCCCUAUUUAUAGGGAAGUGAAAGUGGGAGCUUUGCACAAAGUUCCAAUGUGGGACUUUGUGCAAGCCGUUGUGGUGACGACACGUGUCCUGGAGAUUAGGUUUGGCAGCUGAGAGCUUCGGCAGGUGUCUGGCACCUCGGAAGUGUGUCUUCCUUCGGCAUGGGAGAAGGCGUGGCUGCCUUGGUGCUAGUCGCUUUGAUGCUGGGUCUGCUCGGUUCAUUAUGGUGUAAACAGUAGUCCCCCAAGUUCGCGGUCGAGAAGUAACUUCUGGGUUGGGAACUUGUGAGUUUUUGUAAUUGUAACCGAGCAUUCCAGCUUCAUUGGGAGUCGCAGGGCACUCCCUAGUCCCCCAAGUUGGCAAGCUAGGAGUUGCGUCAACACAUGGUAGCUGGGUACCUGGGUACUUGGGCAUGUUGCAGAUAGGAUGGGAGCUGGGUCCCUAGGGGAGCCAGACCUUCGAGGGAGCCGGGUACUUUGAAAAUUUUGGAGACUCCAAUUCUUUCAUGGCUCCUGCCGUGCGGCAAGGGUCUAGCUCACUUUUUUUUUUUUUUGGGAAUGGCCGGGCCAUUUGGGAUUUUUGGACCUCCCCACAAAGCCUCCAUGGCCCUUGCCGUUCGGCAAGGGUCUAAAUUAUUAUUAUUAUUUUUUUUUUUUUUUUUGCAAAUUUUUUUUUUUUUUUUUUUGGGAAUGGGAGCUAGGCCAUUUUGGAUUGGGCCUUCCACAGCUUCUCCAUGGCCCUUGCCGUUCAGCAAGGGUGUAGCCAUUUUUUUUUGUUUUGGAUGGCUUGGGAGCUAGGCCUUCAAGAGAGCCGGGUCGUUUUGAAAAUUUUCGACUCUCCAAAAUGUCUCCAUGGCCCUUGCCGUUCGGCAGGGGUCUAGCUAUUUUUUGGAUUGGGAGCUAGGCCGUGUUGAGAGAGAUUGAAGGCUUAGCUUGGAUUGGGCCUUCGGCAAGUAAGAAAGGCUUGAGUUUGGCCAAAGUGGGCUUCGGCAUGUAAGAAGGCUAGGGUUUGGCCAAAGUGGGCUUCGGCAUGUAAGAAGGCUAGGGUUUUGAUAGGGGUAUAAAAAUGGGAUGAUGGUGAUGCCGUUCGGCAAGGAUCCAUUCGGCAGGUUGAGGUAGAACAAAAUUUUUUUUGAAAUCCAAACUUGCCGUUCGGCAAGUUCUUGGAGUCCCGGUCUUGGAGUCACGGCUGUGGAGUUGCUGUCCGAGGGCUCUGCAGGUGGCUGAGCUUCGGCAGGGCAGCUGGAGUUCUUGGGGGCUGAGCUUCGGCGGCAGCACGGGGGUUGUAGAACCUUCGGCAGGGUCUGGUCGAGGUGCAGUUGAGGUGCUGCGGAGAUCGAAGUGGAGCUGCGACUGAUCUUGCCGUUCGGACGAAGGGGCUGGGCAGUUGUCUAGGCAGGCUGUGCGGCGCAGCAGCUUCGGCAAGGGCUUUGCCGAUAAGACAGCUGCUGGACAAGUGGAUUGGGUGCUGGCCGAGGGGGCUGGGAAGUUGAUUCGGCAGGCGGCAGCGAGGCUGUGCUGUCCGAGGAGGUUGAAGAGCUUCCGACUGGGCUUGCCGUUCGGCAAGGGACUUGGCAGCGGCCAAGGUGUCCAGCGGUUGGAGGCUUCGGCAGGGUUUCGUCGCGGCAGCUGGUUCUGCCAGCUGGGAGAGGUGCUUGGCCAGGUCGUGUGCUUCGGUAUGUCCUCCUUUCCCUCUGAUUUCAUUCUUGCAUAGCCCUUGCCGUUCGGCAAGGGUGCCCUGAGCUGAUUUUUAUUUUUAUUGAUCGUUGUGUUUGAUCAAAGGUGAUAGGCCCGAGCAAAAUUGGAGCUAGGCCAUUGGCACGAGCGCGGCCAAAAAUAACUUGGCUGAAAAAGUAGCUGGGCCGAAAAUAGUUGGGUGUGGAGAGUAUUUUGACCGAAAAGGUGAGUCCCCCCUUUGUUGUUUCUCGGGCCUUGCCGUUCGGCAAGCCCAUUUAUAUUAUGUGGUGGAAUUGGCUUGGGUGUCUUGAUCAAAUUUGGGCCUAGCCUUGUAGUAGGUUUGGGCUUAUGGAGUAGGCUAGCAAACUUGAAAUUUGGGACUCCAUUUUGUUUUUGCACGGGCCUUGCCGUUCGGCAAGGCCCCUAUUUCCCUCAAAAUUUUUGUGUUGGUUAUUGUGUAGUUUGAAAAUUGAAUUCAAAUGUACCUUUAGGAGGGAAUAUGAAAGGGUACUAGGGUUUGCUCGUGAAAUUGAGGCGUGGUACCCUUAGUUGGCUAUAAAAAGGAACUUGGGUGGUGAAGGCAUCACACUUGGCUUGAGUUGAGAAAAAUUGUGAGAAUUUUGAGGAGGAGGAGAAGAGAUUUCCGGCGAAGGUUUUGUGGUGGUGCUUGUGGCUGAGGUGAUUUCCGGGGACUUGUACGUGGUGGUACGAACAAGGUUAGACCUUAUUUCGCUUGAACUUUUGAAUUGAAAUGUCUUGUUUUGCAUGAACAUGUUGAAGGUUAGGAAGAACACAUUGAACAUGAGCAUGAACAUGAUGAACAUGUUGAACAUAUGUAUGAACAUGUAGAAUUCUUGCCUGGCAUGAAGAUUUGGCAAAUUGUUGUUGUUGUGGUUCGAUCCUCUCUGCAUGUGCAUUUAGUUCCUUCUCUUGUUUUUCCAUACUUGUAGAUGUCUGAAAGUUCUGAUAGGGAAAGUCUUGACCCCCCUGCCUUCGGCGGGGAUGAUACUGAGAGUCAAGAGCCGAGUCAAUAUAUAUGUUCUGAAGAGGAAAGUUCAGAGACAGAGGGUAUGGUGGAAGGAACCAUAGAAAGUAGGAUGAUAGGGCCUGGGGGUGAGAGGGCUGAGCCAUCGGGAGACUCUGGGUCGGCUGCAUAUAGGGAGAUGCAGAGAAAUUAUAUAGAGUUAGAGGCUAUAGCAAAUCGGGUUCUAGCCUUGCCUCAGACGCAAGAAGUGGGUUCGAGCAACCAGGCAUCACCAUCAGGGUCUGUGGGUAUAGCCGUGGCUUCGGUGUCAGAGGGAUUAGACAUCCGGGUUGGUGUCCCGUUGCCGAGGCGGAAUACACUUACAGAAGCGAAAUUGGCCCAGCUACGAACAGAUUUUUGUGUGCCAGCCUAUGUGGGCUUGAGGUUACCCACGGAGGUUGAUGUAGUCAGAUAUCCUUCGGAUGGCUCCGUGAUGAUUUUUACAGAUAUGUAUCGGCAUGGCUUCAGACUACCGUUUCAUCCGUGGGUUCAGAUGAUGUUGGCCAAGUUGGGGUAUGCACCGGGGCAGUAUAAUCCCAACUUUUGGAUUCUUCUUCAUGGGGUGUAUAUCGCCUGGUGGUUGGCUGGGUUAGGGGAGCCAACGUUUGAGCAGUUCAUGUACCUGUACUCCAUUUCGAAGCAACAGGGGAAUUUUGGCUGGGUACAGGCCAAUUGCCGAAAGGCGAAGGAGAGGGGCUAUUUUAUUGGACACAAGCCCACAACGCAAAAGUCCUGGAGGAACAGGUGGUGCUUGGCCUAUGGGGACUGGGAAUGUCCUCCAGGGAAGAGCGUUGUCCAGCACAUUCCUACCCACUUCCAGUCUAUAGGUCCUUGCCCCAUCCCUUAAGAUUGUCAAAUGCCUGAUUGUGUUGUUUUGGCUCCUAUUUUUGGUUCUGUACUUCCUUUGUGCCAGUGUAAAUGGCUAAGUAGUUUCUAACUCUUGAUGCAGGUUCAGUGAAGUGGGGCCCUAUCUCCAAGGAGCAAGAAGACGAAGUUGAGUGGGUGAGGGCGCAGCUAUCAGAGACUGAGCGUGAGUGCGGGAACCUAGUCACGCAGAAGAAUUUGUUUGAGUCCGGACUGCUGCAAGGAAGUAAGUACCUGGGUUAUCUUUUUGUUGUGUGCUAAGCCUGUUGUAAGUUUGAGUAAUAGAGUUGCUUUGUUUGUUUUGACAGUGGCUGGCAUCAUAAGGGGGAGCACGAAGGUGGCCGUAGACAUUGAUGAGGCCGAGAUGCAGAAGCGGCUGAGGGAGUCUCGGGCCAAGAAAGCUGAGAAAAUUGCUGGGAAACGACCCAGGGAUGAUGAUGAGGGUCGGGUCGCGGACGUGCUGGGGAAGAGGAAGGCUUUGGAGGAGGCUCAUCAGCAUGUGAUGGGGUCAGGGCCGAGGCUUCCGCCCUUUGAUCUGCAGGCACCGCCGAAGCUACCCUUCGGCAUGGAGGAUGUGUUCGCUGAAGGGGUAGAGAAGGUAGACUUCGGCAGGCUACGCCAGCAGAAGAAGGAGGUCAACCUGGCUAUGCACCGGCAGGAGGUGCCCUUAGUGAAAGUCUUCCUGGAAGGCGUGAAGAGCGACCCUGAGGCUCUGGCGAGGACUCCAGCUGCUUCCUUCAUUGACCGGGCCCAAAAGACGAUCCUCACCUCUGCCUAUGUAAGUGUUUAGGCCAUUUUUGAAUGUAUUUGUGUUGGAUUAUUUGUGUGGAUUGACUAACAUGGUUUUGGUUUUGCAGGCCUUUGGCGAGAUGUACGUCAGCAUGGCCAAGGCUGACAAGGAGAUCCAGAGGCUGAAGAGGCGGGAUGAGCUAGCCAAGAGCAAAAUGGCAGAGGCGCAGGAGGCCAUCCGAGAGAAGAACACCUUGCUGGUUCAGAAGGCGGCCCUGGCCAAGGAGGUGGAGGAGCUGAAGAGAUCUAGGGCCGAGGAGGUGGCUGCUGCCCGAGCCGAGGCGAUUGAGUCCUUCCGAUCCUCAGAGGAGCUGAAGAGCUAUAUCAUGGACCGACUGGUUGAUGAGCAGCUUCGCUGGGAAGAUAGGUUGGUUAGGUUCAACCCCUCACUGGAGAUUAACUUUGACACCAGUGGCGAGCCUCCUGCACAGACCCCUCCUGCUGAUGCUAGCGCCCCGACACGAGAGGCUGAGCCAGCCACUGAGGAUGCUCCUUCGACCGAGUCCUGAAGGCGUUGCCUUCGUGAUGUGUUAUAGCUAUUUUGUACUCUAGUGAUUGUGUUUGAACACUUGUUUGUUUUGUUUACUUUGGUUAUGUAUGAACAUUUGUCCUUGCCUGGAGCAAGGCUGUUUUUAUUUAUGAUAUGAACUUAGCUUGAUAUCAAUUGUGUUAACAAUGAUAACAAUGUGAGUUCAUGAGAAUGAGCCUGAGUCAGGCAUUUUAUUGAAAUAGAUGCCGAAAGGCAGAAGGUACAAGUGGUCUAGGGUCUAGAUACCUUACGUCUAACUUACAGUAAAUAAUCAAGACCAAAGUAUUAUCCUAGGGUCUAGAUAUGUUUACUUGUAAUAGUACUUGAGGUGGUCAGCAUUCCACGGGUGAGGCAGCGUCUUGCCUGAGGAAUCACGAAGCUGAUAAGUGCCGGGGCAGCAGAUUUUGAUAAUCUCAUAAGGACCUUCCCAUGUAGGGCCGAGGGUACCCUCGUUGGGAUUUUUGGUAGCCAAGGAAACCUUGCGCAUGACCCAGUCCCCCAUUUUGAAAGCACGGGGCUUGACUCGGGAGUCAUAGUAUUUGGCGAUGCGUUGCUUGUACGCGGCAUUGCGCAUGCUUGAUUGGUCCCGGAGUUCGUCAAUGAAGUCGAGGUUGAGGGCCAACUGCUCGUCAUUGGCCGUGGCAUCGUAAGUGGAGGUUCGGUAUGUGGGCUGGCCAAUCUCUACCGGAGCCACGGCCUCGGUUCCAAAUGAUAGGGAGAACGGCGUUUCACCCGUGGAUGUGCGGAAGGUGUUGCGGUAGGACCAGAGUACUUCUGGGAGUAGUUCUGGCCAGCAGCCCUUGGCUUUGUCAAGUUUUGUCUUGAGGGUCUUCUUGAUAAUUUUGUUCACGGUUUCGACCUGGCCAUUGGACUGAGGAUGGGCUGGGGAGGCGAAACACAGACGAAUCUUGAGGUUCGAACAAAAUUGUUUGAAUUUGGCGUUGUCAAAUUGCCGGCCAUUGUCGGUGAUGAUGGAGUUGGGGAUGCCGAAGCGACAUACAAUGUUUUGCCACACAAAGGAUUCGAUGCGAGCCGCAGUGAUGGUGGCCAAGGCCUCGGCCUCAGCCCACUUGGUGAAGUAGUCUACGGCCACAACAGCAUACUUGACUUGGCCCUUGCCCUCUGGCAUCGGUCCGAUGAGAUCCAGUCCCCAUUGGGCAAAUGGCCAAGGACUGACCAUGGCCGUCAGUGGUUCUGCCGGGAGUUGUGGAAUGUUGGCGAAUCUCUGACAUUUGUCGCAUUUUUGGGUGAAGGCCUGGGCGUCAGUGUGGAGUGAAGGCCAGAAAUAUCCUUGGCGGAUUGCCUUAUGAGCUAACGAGCGUGCGCCCGAGUGGUUGCCGCAGAUGCCUUCAUGGAUUUCUCGGAGGACAUAGUGACCCUCCUCUGGAGUCAGGCAUCGGAGGUAAGGAAGGCUGAAACCCCGCUUGUAUAAGGAGCCAUUAAUGAUCAGGUAACGGGCAGAGCGAUGGCGAACGCGUCGUGCUUCUGCCGGAUUAGCCGGUAGUGUUUGGUUUUGUAAGAAUUGGAGGAUGGGGUCCAUCCAUGUAGGGCUGUGAUCAAUAGUGCAGAUGAGUGGGGCUUGUGUGCUGGGCUGGGCCAAAAACUCGAUGUGGAUGUGGCGACCCAGUCCUUGCUCCAAGGCUGAUGCCAACCUGGCUAGUGCAUCGGCAUGGCUAUUCUCGGAGCGCGGCACCUGCCUGAUAGAGUGGGCUUGGAAGUUUGCCAGCAAGUGCCGAGCUUGCUGGAGGUAGGCCGUCAUAGAGGCAUCCUUAGCCGUGAAGUCCUGGUUGACCUGGUGGACCACAAGUUGUGAAUCGCUGAAUAUCUGAAUUUGCCUGGCGUCCAUCUCUUUGGCUAAUCGAAGACCAGCUAAGAGUGCUUCAUAUUCGGCCUCAUUGUUGGAGGCUUGGAAUUUGAAGCGAAGGGCGUACUCGAGGGCAACCUUGUCUGGGGAGAUGAGAACGAGGCCGGCCCCACAGCCCUGGGCAUUAGAAGAGCCGUCUACGAAUAAGGUCCACAGGGGCUGGGUUAGGUCGAGAUUGCCUUCGGUGGGGGUUUGGUCCUGGCUGGGAGGGGGGUUGGGUUCGAUUAUGAGCUGGGUAGCUGCGGAAGCUUGGGGAUCCGUGAAUUCGGAUAGGAAGUCAGCAAUGGCCUGGCCCCUCAUAGCCGGGCGGGGUUUGUAGUGAAUAUCAAACUCGCCCAGUUCAAUGGCCCAUUUGACCAGCCUCCCAGAGGUUUCUGGGUUCUGCAACACCUGUCGGAGCGGGUGGUUGGUUAAGACAUGGAUGGUGUGAGCUUGGAAAUAUGGUCGGAGGCGUCUUGCCGAGACGACCAGGGCGAAUGCCAAUUUUUCGAUGUCCGGGUAACGAACUUCGGCAUCUUGCAAUGCUUUACUAACAUAAUGCACUGGGUGCUCCGCGUGAUCUUUUGAUCGGAUAAGCACAGAGCUAACAGCCGAAGCUGAGAUGGAGAGAUAAAUCACGAGGAUGUCUCCGUGCUCAGGGGUUGACAAUAAAGGGGCCCGACCCAUAUACUCCUUCAGCUCGCUGAAAGCCGUGUCACAUUCAGCAGUCCAGGUCAUGUUUCUUUUGGUGCCUUUAAGGGCCUUGAAGAAUGGGGCGCAACGGUCAGUGGCUUUGGAGAUAAAUCUGGUCAGGGCUGCGACACGCCCUGUAAGGCUUUGGAUAUCCUUGGCCGUCUUAGGUAUUGUCAUAUCUAAGAUGGCCUGGAUCUUUUCUGGAUUGGCCUCAAUGCCCCUCUGGCUGAUCAUGAAGCCAAGGAAUUUUCCGGAAGCCACCCCGAAUGCACAUUUGGUGGGGUUAAGCCUCAUUUUGUAUUGCUUCAGAAUGGUGAACAUGGCAGAGAGGUUGGGGAUGUGCUGGUCAGCCGUGCGACUCUUGACUAGCAUGUCAUCGACAUAGACCUCCAUGGUAUUGCCAAUCAGGGGGGCAAAGAGCUGAUUCACCAGACGCUGAUAAGUGGCCCGGCGUUUUUGAGGCCGAAGGGCAUCACCUUAUAGCAGUAGAGGCCGCGGUCCGUAAUGAAAGAGGUGUGUGCCUGAUCUUCGGGGUGCAUGAAGAUCUGGUUGUAACCUGAAUAAGCAUCCAUGAAGCUAAGGAGGGCGUGGCCGGCUGUGGCGUCGACUAGCUGGUCAAUGCGGGGUAGCGGGAAGCUGUCCUUUGGGCAUGCCCGAUUAAGGUUGGUGUAGUCGACACACAUGCGCCAGCCCUUUCUUGGCUUGCGGACCAUCACGACAUUGGCCAGCCAUGUGGGAUAGUCAACCUCCCUGAUGAAUCGGAUACUACUCAAUCGAUCCACCUCCGCCUUCAUGGCCUCAUAGCGCUCGGGAUCAUAGGCUCGACGCUUCUGUCGGACUGGUCGGACGGCAGGAUUGACGCUAAGCCUAUGAGAUAUGAUGUCUGGUGAUAUGCCAGGCAUGUCAUUGUAGGACCAAGCGAAGACUUCGGAGUUGAGGCGGAGGAAGGCGACCAGGUCAGAGCGAAGCUCUGGUGAGAUGGAGGUGCCGAUCCGGACUUGUCGAUCCGGGAUAUCGUCAUGGAGGGUAACCAGCUCCAGGUCCUCCAUAGGUUCGGCCUGUGGUGCGAUGGACUCCUCCCUGGGGUCUUCAGGUGGGUCUGUGCCAGCUUGAGGAGGGGCGGGAGCCUGGGUUACUGCUAGGGCUUCACUCCUAUGUUGGCGAUUGGUGGAUUUGAUGGCUGAAGCAUAGCAGCUUCGGGCUCCGAGUUGGUCGCCGCGCACCGUGCCUGGGCCAUUAGGAGUGGGGAACUUCAACAGCAGUAUAUGCGUGAAAAUAAAAGCCUUCAUUUGGGCCAAGGCUGGGCGGCCGAGGAUGACGUUGUAGGCUGUGGGGCAAUCGACGAUAAGGAAGGGGGUAGUGAUCGUCGUCCGCUGGGGUGCGGCCCCAAUUGAGAUGGGGAGAUGAAUGCUGCCAAUGGGCUGGACCACAUCACCCGAGAAGCUCACAAGGGGUGUGAUGCUUCGGUCGAGUAGGUGAGGCGGGACCUGGAGUUCAUUGAAGCACUCGGCGAACAUCACACUGACCGAGCUGCCAGUGUCCACCAGGAUACGCCCAACGUCGAAGUUAGAAAUGUCAGCCCGGAUAAUAAGUGGAUCGUCAUGGGGGAGGAUAACACCACGCUCCUCCUCCUCGCAGAAGGUAAUGGGGGCCCAGCCAGUCCUGUGGGUCUUUGGCAAUCGUCCCUGCUCGGUGCUGAAGACCUGGUGCGCAUAGGUGGAGCGGACAUAAUGUUUGAUGGAGUUGUUGGAGGUGCCAGCCAGGGUAGGACCUCCGCUGAUGGUGGAGAUCAUGUUGAUUUGUCGUUGGUGAGGGUUAGGCGGGGCUGGUAUGUUGCGCACAUAGUUGUCCAGCUUACCUUCCCGGAUGAGCCCUUCAAUUAUGUUGCGCAAGGCAACACAAGAUUCGGUGUCAUGGCCGCUGAAUUGAUGAAAGCGGCAGAAGACCCCCGUGUUUGGCAUAGGCUUGUUGGAUGGUCUCCGGGGGGGUGGCUUGGGGAUGAUGGGGGCUUCACGUGCCAGGACGUUCUCAUAGGUGGUGUUGAGGGUCGUAAAAACCUCAAACCUGGGCCUGGGUGCGAAUGGAAGUGGGGCCCGAUCACCAGGCCUGGGAGGGUUGCUUCCACUAGAUUGAUGGGGGUUGCCAUGUCUGCCACGUUUGUGAUUGCCGAAGGGAUGCUGGUAGCUAUCCUUCCGCUUAUGUGGUUGGUUGUCCUGGGCAAUCGGGGCAGGGGUAGAAUGCUGAGGUGGGGCUGGGGCGGGUGCUGAAGCCGGUGGAGGGUCGGCGAAAGUGUUGCGCGCCAAGUUGGCUGGGCCACGCUUGGAAUUGAAGUAUUCAGCCUUAGCGUGGAUCGCCGCCUGCUUCAUCAGCUCUGCAUAUGUGUUCCAACUGUUGCUAUGAACCAGGUAGCGGAAGUUGGACUCGCGGAGGCCGCUCUUAAAAGCGCCGAAGGCAGCGCGAUCGUCAGUGUCUGGGCAGCGAGAGUAUUCAUGACUGAACCGAGCUGCAUAUUCCCGAAGGGGUUCGUCCUCAGCCUGCCUAAGCAUAUACAAGUCGUCGGCAGAGUAUAGGCGAUCAGUCUGGAUCAUAAAAUGGUCCAGGAACGUCUGCUUGAGACUAUCGAAGGAGUUGAUGGUGCAGGGGUGGAGCCUGUAGAACCAAUUCAGGGCCGCGCCGCUGAGGGUGGAAGGGAAAAGGAGGCACAUGCCUUCAUCAGUGAGGCCUUUGCACCCAAGGGCAGACUGGAAGGAGUGGAUGUGGGUGAGAGGGUCCUCCGUGCCAGUGUAGAAAGCGAUGCGGAGGGGCUGGAUAUCUUUCUCCUGGUGGUAGUGGAGGAUGCGUUCAGUAAAGGGCCCUGGUCGUGGUUUUGCCCAGAGGGGUUGAUGGCUGCGUUGUUGUUCGCUUUCCAAGCGCCGGACCUUUUCGAAGAGAAGCCUCAUGGCCGGGUCGGCAUGAGGAAGAGUUUCAGGCGCCAAAGGCCUGGGGGCGGGGCAGACAGGGACUGGGGAUUGUUCCCAAUUUUCCAGCGCCCCGGUGUGGUAAUUUGGCCAGGUCUCCGAAUUAUAAAAGUCCCAAGUAUCCGAGUCCCCGACACCUUCCUCGUCGGGUAUGCGGACGGGGGCUGGCGAAGGGCCCGGGUGUGUCACCCGUGGGUCUUCGAGGUUGACAGGGAUAGGGAUCGGCCUUGGCUGGCGGUCCGAGAGGCGAUCCCUGCAAUCUUGGUAGAUCCUGACUGGUUCAUGGGGCCGGUCCCUCGGUGGGGGAACGCAAAGGGGUCGUGACUGGGCUAUCUCCGGAUGAAGGUGGUCCUUACCCUUGCGGAGCCUAGCCUGGGCCGAGGCACUGUGGCUGGAAUGUACCGGCUGGUUCGGCUGAGUAGGCCCAACGUUCUGGGUGAGGUCUUGCGGGGCAUCCUGGGUGUGAGUCCUUUCCCAGUUCCGCUUUAAAACACGGUAGUCAUGUUCUAGCUCAAUGUUCCUGCAAUGAAGGUGGUCGUAUUUUUCCGACAUUUUAGUGACACUGUCGCGGAGACGCUCCACUUCUGCCUGGAGAGUGGCAUCUUCCGAAGAUCUCCUUCUAGAAGUACCAUCGCGGGGGGUAUGAUGCUGGGUAUCGCGGCUAUCCUCGGUCGGCAUAGCAGAAUGUGGGGUGAAGAAGAGGCGACGGGGCCUGAGGGGUGAAGGAGCCAGCUGGGCUGAUAGAGAAAGAGGGGAUUCAAGUGUCGAUUUCCCACAGACGGCGCCAAACUGUUGAUGCUCAAAAUGGCCCGGCCAAUAUUGAGUCCAACUUAGUGAUUAGAUGUGCUGAGUCUUCAGCAGAGAAGAGGGCUGAGGCCCUUGGUGAAAUGGGUUGGUGAGAGACCUGUAGAAGGUAAAAAGAGGAGAAGCAAUCGUCAAGCUUCGGACACCGGUGUGGUGCCGGCCGAAGGCUCUCCGAUGCCUAAGUCAAUUACAAGUAGUAAUUCUGGCAGAGUAACAGUAAAAGUGGGAGAGUAGUUCUCUGUUUUACCUGGGUACUGUUCCCUAUUUAUAGGGAAGUGAAAGUGGGAGCUUUGCACAAAGUUCCAAUGUGGGACUUUGUGCAAGCCAUUGUGGUGACGACACGUGUCCUGGAGAUUAGGUUUGGCAGCUGAGAGCUUCGGCAGGUGUCUGGCACCUCGGAAGUGUGUCUUCCUUCGGCAUGGGAGAAGGCGUGGCUGCCUUGGUGCUAGUCGCUUUGAUGCUGGGUCUGCUCGGUUCAUUAUGGUGUAAACAUAAAGUAUUAGGAAUUUUCUUUAGCACCUUGACAUUCAAUUUUCUCUAGUCUCAUUAUGAUUGACGUGUGAUUUCCAUAACAUUAAUUAUGCAUUGUAUAUAGCAGAUAAUUUACUCCUUUAUAUGGUUUUGUCUUGUAUGAUUGUGUGGCUUUCUUCCUUUUUUCCUAUAUAUAUCUGAUGCAAGCUAGCAUAUAUCAAUAUACACUUGCAGUGUUUUUGCAUGUGCAUGUGCUUUUGAUCAAUUAACAUGAAGGGCGACGGAAGGUGCUUGAAACUCUUUCUUGCAUUAUCGAUCCUUUUCCUACAAAACGUAAAAGGAGGAGAAGUUGGCCACAGCCACAACCACAGCCACAGUCACAGCCUCAGAGAUGCUAAAGUGACAGUGAGGUGCAUAGAGAGGGAAAGGCAAGCACUACUUGCAUUCAAACGUGGCCUGGUGGAUGAGUUCAAUCUACUCUCAACUUGGGGUUCAGAAGCCGAAAAACAAGAUUGUUGCAGAUGGGAAGGAGUCUAUUGUAGCAACCAAACUGGCCAUGUGAUUCAACUUCAUCUUGGAUAUUCUUUCCUUGAUGAGAUGUUUCAACCUGCUUUUGAAUAUUCUUUCCAAGGUAAGAUGAUUAGUCCUAAACUGAUUGAGUUGCAGCAUUUACAAUAUUUGCACCUUGCAUCCAUUGAUUUCAAUGAGAGCCAAAUUCCUGAUUUCAUUGGUUCUCUAACCAAUCUAAGAUACCUCAGUUUCCAUUCCUGUCAUUUGGUUGGUCAAAUUCCAAGUUCGUUUGGAAACCUCACGCAAUUGCAAUAUCUCGACCUCAGCUAUAAUUAUCAGCUUCAACCAGAAAAUCUCAAUUGGCUCGUUGCUCUUUCUUCUUUAACGGAUUUGGGCCUUGCAUCCUUUGAUUUCAAUUGGAGCCAAAUUCCAGAUUUCAUUGGUUCUCUAACCAAUCUAAGAAACCUCAAACUCUCUUCCUGUAAUUUGGUUGGUCCAAUUCCAAGUUCGUUUGGAAACCUCACACAAUUGCAACAUCUCGACCUCGCCAAUAAUCAGCUUCAACCAGAAAAUCUCAAUUGGCCCCCCGCUCUUUCUUCUUUAACAGAUUUGGACCUAAGCGGAAACAAUCAAAAUACUGUUUUGGACCUUGCAUCGAUUGAUUUCAAUGGGAGUCAAAUUCCAGAUUUCAUUGGUUCUCUAGCUAAUCUAAGGUACCUCAGUCUCAGUUCCUGUAAUUUGGUUGGUCAAAUUCCCAGUUUGUUUGGAAACCUCACGCAAUUGCAACAUCUCGACCUUAGCGGUAAUCAUCUUCAAGCAGAAAAUCUCAAUUGGCUCCCUGCUCUUUCUUCUUUAACGUAUUUGGACCUAAGCGGAGCCAAUCUCAGUACUGUUUUCGAUUGGCCAGAAGCAGUACUUAAUAAGCUCCCUAAACUAGAAGAGUUGACCUUGGUGAACUGUAGUCUUCCUCCUCCUCCUCCUCCUCCUCCUACUCUUUACAAAACAAAUUCUUCUACAUCUCUUGCGUAUGUUGAUCUCUCUGACAACCAUCUCACUUCUUCAAUAUUUCUUUGGUUGUCCAACUACAGUACAAGCCUUGUUGCUCUUGGCCUCUCCAACAAUCAUCUAUCUGGUUUCAUUCCCAAUUUCAUUGGAAACAUGAGCUCUCUUGUGGAUCUGGAUCUCUCUGAUAACCAGAUUAAAGGAGCGAAUCCAAAUUCGUUUGCAAGGCUGUGUAAUUUGCAAACAUUGCAGCUUCAAAGAAAUCAUCUGAGUGGACAAUUAUCUCAACUAUUGCCUAGAUGUGCUCAAAACUCAUUAGAGGAAUUGUACCUCUCUAAUAAUGUUCUUGCGGGGUCAUUAAACAAUCUUACAAGCUUCUCAUCUUUGGAAGUCUUGCAUCUUAGCGCCAAUCAAUUAAGCGGAAAAAUACCUGAAAGUGUUGGGCAAAUGUCCCAACUGUAUGACAUUGAUUUCAGCAUGAACUCUUUGGAAGGGGUGGUUUCAGAAACUCAUUUCUCAAAACUCUCCAAAUUAGAAUAUUUGGAUUUAUCCUCUAACUCACUAGUUUUAAACUUUAGUUCUAAUUGGGUUCCUCCCUUCCAGUUGAGAUACAUAAAUUUGACGUCCUGCAAGGUCGGUCCCCUUUUCCCAAAAUGGCUUCAAACUCAAAAACAUUUUUCCCUGCUUGAUAUUUCUAAUGCUGGAAUAUCUGAUAGCCUUCCAAGUUGGUUUUGGAGUAAUUUUCGUAGCGCAGACAUUAUUAAUCUCUCACAGAAUCUAAUCAGAGGAAUACUUACAAAUUUGACAGCAGAAUUUCCAUUUUACGCAGAACUACAUUUAAGUUCGAACCAAAUAGAAGGUCCAAUUCCCUCAAUUCUAUCACAAGCCUCAUAUCUGGAUCUCUCUAAUAAUAACAUUUCAGGGUCGCUUUCUUUCCUAUGUGCAAGUGCAGAUAUGAGUUAUCUUAAUCUUUCAAGCAACAGUUUUUCUGGAGAACUUCCGGAUUGCUGGAGCCAUUUGGAGAAUAAUCUAGUCAUGCUUGAUUUGAGUAACAACGCUUUUUCCGGAAAAAUUCCCAUGACAAUAGGCUCUUUAUUUCAAAUGCAAACUUUGAAAUUAAGAAGCAACCGAUUUGUUGGAGAAUUGCCUUCAUCGUUGAAGAACUGCACAAGUUUAGAGGUUAUUGAUCUGGGAGAUAAUAAAUUAUCAGGACCAAUACCUACAUGGUUAGGUGUGAGCUUCAAUAAUUUGGUUAUCCUGAUGCUUUCCUCUAAUCACUUCAAUGGAAGCAUGCCCUCGCAAUUAUGUCAUCUAACACGAAUUCAAAUUAUGGAUUUUUCUGUGAACAACAUCUCUGGAAGCAUACCCAAAUGCCUCAACAAUUUGACUACUCUGGCUCAAAAAGGAAAUCCAAGUCUAUCCAGUAGACAUUCUUAUACGAGACUUAUGGGUAAUAACACAGCUGCUAGUGCUAAUUAUGAGGAUGAUGCAAGCUUCAUAUGGAAAGGAAGAAUGCAGACAUACAAAAGCACUUUGGGACUUGUGAAAAGAAUUGAUCUCUCAAGCAAUAGAUUAACAGGGGAGAUUCCAAGUGAAAUCACUCAUCUUGUUGAGUUGGUUUCUUUAAACCUUUCAAGAAACCGGUUAACAGGUCAAAUAACUCCAGAGAUUGGAAAUUUGCAGUCAUUGGAUUCUCUUGAUUUGUCAAGAAACCAGAUAGAUGGAAGAAUUCCGACAAGCCUUGCUCGGAUAGAUCGUCUUAGUUUCUUGGACCUGUCAUAUAACAACUUGUCUGGCAAAAUACCAACAGGCACUCAGCUCCAAAGCUUUGAUCCCCUUGAUUAUGCUGAAAAUCCUCAACUAUGUGGACCUCCACUUAAAAAGAUGUGUGCUGAUCAAAAUGAGCCAUUGAGCAAUGAAGAGGAUAAGGAUGAGUUUAUAACACUGGGAUUUUACAUCAGUAUGGGGAUUGGAUUUGCUGCUGGAUUUUGGGGAGUUUGCGGCACUUUGAUAUUCAAUAGGUCAUGGAGAUAUGCAUACUUGAAGUUCUUGAAUGGUUUAAAUGAUUGGCUCUAUGUGAAGAUAGCUUUGAGCAAGCGGCAACUAAAGCUAGCAUAUGCUUAGUAGAUAAGCUCGCAACGGUACUCUCUCAUUCAUCAUUAAUUUUGUUUUAUAAUUAUUUUUCUUAUUGCAUUUUUUCCUUUUCUCCAUACUGACGGGUAUUAGUUUGUUUACUUUGAUAUUUAGCUGCAGCAUCUAAAUUAGGAGAAAAGUAGUUGUAGCUGAAUGCCUUCUUUCAGUUCAAGUGUGGAAGAUUGCCAGUAGCCGCACGCACAAGUAUCUGGAGAAGAGUUUACGAGUUAAUUUGGAGUGCUUAGUAGGAAUAAAUAUUAUUCAUAUUAGUGUUAAUUACUUGUCAGAAUAAUUAAUUCGGAAUUCUCCAAUUAAUGUUUUUUAAUAUAUUUGUUAUAGAGAAAUAAACAGAUCCAUUUUAAUCCAAGCUCACUCCGAUUAAUGUAUUAAUUCCAGCUAUAAUGUUAUUUUAAUGAACUAAGCCAAAGCCAAAGCGGACUUGAUUUCAAAUUACAAUGUGUGGCUCUGUUUUGGUCAUCUAUUUGCAACGUACAGCUUCUCCUUGUAAAUGCGUGGCUUUGUUUUGGUCAUUCUUUCCUUUCAUAAUUCAACAUCUUGUUCUGGAUUCCUUUUUGUAAACAGACUUUUUGUAUUUGGUCUAUUUUGUGGAUUUUAAGAUUGUGUUAGGCUUACUUGUUAGCUGCAAAAUGCCUUGUACCAAAACUAAAUGGUUUAUCCAUACUCUUCUUGGCUUCAAGCUGAUAUCUCCUAAAGUAGAAAUGAAGAAAUAAAAUAGCUUCUAAAUUACACGAGAUUCUACCCCCAGCUUGCUUGCAGUAUAUGAUACACAUAUCUAGCACGUUGAAUCCAUACAGAAAAACCAAAAGCAGCAUAUGAUACACAUAUCUUGCACGUCUCUUGCUAAGACGCCAAGAGUUAGGUUCACGGUAUCUAUCAUAUAGCGGUUCAAUACGUUCUUGACGCUUGCGCUUGCUCAUCUUGGUGGGAUCUGCCACUUUGAAGAACCUGGGUGCCAGUUCCGCGAGCCAUCUGGGGUCAACGACUGUCACCUCGCGCAUGUACUCCUUUGUGGUCAUAACCAGCUCCUGGUAGAUCACCCAAUCUGGUUGUCUCUGGAAGAGGGCGCUGCUUGGGUGUAUAUAAACUGGUUGGUUCUCCACUAGGGUUCUAUAACCCUCCUGCGGGUCCUUUCUAGCACCGUGGAAGAAAAACCCUGCUGUAAUUGCCUUCCUGAUCUUUGUAAAAUUCUUUCCAGCACUGACAACAUCUAGUUUAUACCUGAAAUUCACAAUCUAUAGUCAGAAUGCAAUUUCAUCUUCAAAUCAGAAAACUUAGAAAUCUUUGAUCACUGUUAUAAACUAAAGCAACCGGUGCUAGUAGAGACAUUGGCAUGACAAACUUAUGCUAAGUUUUUAUACACAAUCUUUAUAAUAAUCUAUCCUAGAACUUACAUGACAAUGCUAUGUCAAUCAAAGAAAUCUGUUAAUGGCGAUGGUAGGAUGUGUAAUAUGCCAUCUGAAUUUCCAUAUCAACUUAUAAAACAGUUUUGCAAUAUUUUGUACAAACAACACUUUACCAAGAAAAACAAUUCCAGUAUCAAAAUGACUAACAUGUCAGCACAAGAGAGCACAUUUGAAGAGCAUAUACUGGCAAUUUAGCUAUACACAAGAGUAGUUAUAAUUUAUAAAGAUACUAUACUUAACCAUUGAAAAAAUGGGAAAAAAGCACUUCUGCUAAUAAUGCUCGGAAAACAGUGUAUGUAACAUCAACAUGAGUCAUGACAACUCGUAAUGACCUAUUCAAUGCUCAGGUAUCAUAUAUCAAGAUUUUAAAACACAAACUAGGCCUGAACAACAUUUCAGCAUUUCCAUCAAGUACAGACAGCAAAAGGCGUGCCUAAUUCACGACUACUGCAAAAAUACAAUGUACCAAACAUAAGAAAACCUAGAACAUUAAUCUACAUCUUUUAAAACCAUUCAUGCACAUGUGAAACCAGAAAAAAAAUCCAUGCAGCCACGAAUACACAUCAAGAUAAAUUAGAAGAACAUACUUGUCCAUGAUGCUGAGAAGCUGUUUUCUGACAUCCUGUGCCCUCCUCAAGGAUCGAGACUGAACAAAGUUCUCAAAACACCAUGGCCCUGAAAAAUUCUUAGCUUUCCAUGCCUCAUAGACUGCAAGUAAAGUCAGAUGAUCUCCUUCUGGCUGGAAAAACUUGGCUCUCUUCUGAUCUGCCUGGGCUUGUUUUUCCCUAGGCCUGUAAAAAAUAUUACCAGUCUGAAUCAUUGCAAUGAUGGUCAAGAUCUCAUCACUGCAUCCAAGGUCGACACUGCCCAGUAGCAUCUUAGACAAGGUGGAUCCAGAGGAAACUCAGCCAUUUUCCUACCCAAUUUGGUGAGCAGCCCCUCCUCAUCCAGUGCUCCUAAACUGUACAAUUGUUCCAUGGCAGAAAUGAGUGCUUGGGGUGAAGGAGGAUCCAUAAAAUCAAAAGACAAGAGAUCAUUUAUCCCCAUAGCUUUCAUCGUAAGUGAAGUUGUCCCAAGAUUUAUCCUCUGGAUUUCUGGAAUUGAAGUAGGGGACAUCUCAUUGCGGUAUGCACUCUCAGUGUAGAGGCGGUAACAUUUCCCAGGGCCUGUACGCCCAGCGAACCCAGCUCGUUGCUUGGCUGAUGCUUGGGAAAUUGGAGUUAUGACAAGUGAAUCUAGGCCCUGCUUUGGGUUAUAAACAUUUUGCUUUGCAAAACCAGGAUCAAUGACAUAAAAUAUCCCAUCAAUGGUCAGUGAUGCCUCAGCAAUAUUAGUAGCCACAACUACUUUCCUC
rnacentral:lncRNA from 1 species